CCUACGGGUGGCAGCAGUGAGGAAUAUUGGUCAAUGGGCGGAAGCCUGAACCAGCCAAGUCGCGUGAGGGAUUAAGGCCCUGCGGGUCGUAAACCUCUUUUGCCGGGGAGCAGUGGUCCGGACGUGUCCGGGCCGGGAGAGUACCCGGAGAAAAAGCAUCGGCUAACUCCGUGCCAGCAGCCGCGGUUAUACGGAGGAUGCGAGCGUUAUCCGGAUUUAUUGGGUUUAAAGGGUGCGUAGGCGGGCAUUUAAGCCGGCGGUCAAAUGUCGGGGCUCAACCGUAAAAUUGCAAUUGAUACUGGCAGCCUUGAGUACAGUUGAGGUAGGCGGAAUUCGUGGUGUAGCGGUGAAAUGCUUAGAUAUCACGAAGAACUCCGAUUGCGAAGGCAGCUUACUAAACUGCCACUGACAUUGAUGCUCGAAAGUGUGGGUAUCAAACAGGAUUAGAUACCCCAGUAGUC
rnacentral:rRNA from 1 species